rnacentral:rRNA from 1 species
GUGGCGAACGGGUGAGUAACACGUGGGUAAUCUGCCCUGUACUCUGGGAUAAGCCUGGGAAACUGGGUCUAAUACCGGAUAUGACCUUUCACCGCAUGGUGGGGGGUGGAAAGUUCCGGCGGUAUGGGAUGAACCCGCGGCCUAUCAGCUUGUUGGUGGGGUAAUGGCCUACCAAGGCGACGACGGGUAGCCGGCCUGAGAGGGUGACCGGCCACACUGGGACUGAGACACGGCCCAGACUCCUACGGGAGGCAGCAGUGGGGAAUAUUGCACAAUGGGCGCAAGCCUGAUGCAGCGACGCCGCGUGAGGGAUGACGGCCUUCGGGUUGUAAACCUCUUUCGCCAGGGACGAAGCGCGAGUGACGGUACCUGGAUAAGAAGCACCGGCUAACUACGUGCCAGCAGCCGCGGUAAUACGUAGGGUGCGAGCGUUGUCCGGAAUUAUUGGGCGUAAAGAGCUCGUAGGCGGUUUGUCACGUCGGGAGUGAAAACCAUGAGCUUAACUCAUGGCUUGCUUUCGAUACGGGCAGACUAGAGGUAUGCAGGGGAGAACGGAAUUCCUGGUGUAGCGGUGAAAUGCGCAGAUAUCAGGAGGAACACCGGUGGCGAAGGCGGGUCUCUGGGCCGAUACUGACGCUGAGGAGCGAAAGC